AUUAUGUUUGCUGGGUCAUAUGAGAAGGUCAUGUUUAGUUUUUUUAAAACUGCCAAACUGUCCUUUAAAGUGACUGUUCCAUUUUGCAUUCUCAUCAUCAAU
rnacentral:pre_miRNA from 1 species